GGAACAAAAAAUUAUGCUUUGAUUAUAAUUAUCUUAUUUACGUUGAUUUGAACCAAGUAGACAAUUAUAGUUUCUUAUUCGAGGCAAGAGUGUAAGACGUUAAAAAUAUGCGAGUUUAAAGAGUAACUUGGUAUUGUUGUGUUACGCUGUUAGGCUUAGGUAUAUAGGUGGACAAAAUGAUGGAGGCAAGGGAGGGUGGUCCUGUUCAGACUUUUCCUAGCCAUAGUCCAAUUAUCGGUUUAUCCCCAGUUGCUCCAGGAUUAGACACAUUAUAUGCAGUAUGUCGUAGAUUAUAUCCUGAUCAGCCUAAUCCUCUCCAAGUUACAGCAGUUGUCAAGUACUGGUUAGGUGGUCCUGAUCCUUUAGACUAUGUCAGUAUGUAUAGUAACCCUGGUGAUGAAGAGAAAGGUGUUCCUCCACAUUGGCAUUACAUCAGCUUUGGACUCUCAGAUUUGCAUGGAGAUGGGCGGGUUCAUGAAAUGUCAGGCAGUGACACUCCAAGUGGAUUUGGAUUUGAAUUGACUUUUCGUUUAAAGAGAGAAGCAGAAGAGACUGCUCCUCCCACAUGGCCUGCAGCAAUCAUGCAAGCAUUAGCAAAAUAUGUUUUUCAAUCAGAGAAUAUUCUAUGUGCUGGAGACCAUGUAUCAUGGCACUGUCCACUAGAUAACAGUGAGUCCCGAAUUCAACACAUGCUAAUGACAGAAGACCCUCAACUGGGGAUGGUGAUGUCUCCAUUUGGACCAGUAAAUUUUGUACAGAUUGUAGGUGUAUGUGGAGAAGAAUUAAUGGCAGCUCAGAGAUGGAAUGGUCCAGGUGUGAUUGAUUUAAUGAAAAACAUUGAAGGAGCUGGUAGUCCUUGGUUAGUUACAGACAUGAGGAGAGGGGAGAGUAUGUUUGAUCUGGAUCUUAAUGUCCAGGAAGCUGUUGACAAAGGGAUUGAAGUGGAUGGCUCUAACUUAAGUGGUGUUAGUGCACGAUGUUCCUGGUCUGAGAACCAACCAUCUUCAAGAAUAAGGUCUCAUAGCUCAGAGGGCCAGCAUGAUAAGGACAGUGAGACUUUCAUUCCACAAAUCUCAGAGCUUGAAUCGGAACAAAUAAAGAGUACAUUGAAGAAAGGUCUUUUGAACACCAAACCUGUCCUCCCACCUAUUAAAUCAAGUCACAGUUCCAGAAACGAUAACAACAUCAGGAAAGAAUGUUAUGAUAGCAGUGCCAGCAGUUAUCCAGGAAUGCUAGAAUCUGGUGAACUUCUUAAAACUAGAACUUUAGAGUCAGUACACCUCCAGUUCAAUUUGGAGGCUGGAACUGUACUUCCUUUAGCCUUAAGAGGCAGGCUGCGACAUGGUCGGCAUUUCACAUUUAAAAGUGUUGUGGGAGACAUUGCUAUUACCUUUGUAGCUCCAAGUGUUGUGGGAGCUUUUGCUGAUGCUGAACAUCCAUAUGCUGCUCAUGGGCCAUGGCUACAAGUUUUACUAGAUGAAGAAUUUGUAGAAGAGAUGAUUUUGGACCUAGAUGAACUAACAAAUGUUGAAGGGUUAUCAUUACCCAAGACCUAUUCCUGGCCAGACAAAAACUUGUCCAUCACCUUGCUUCCUGAAGAAUACUAAACAUCGGGGGAUUACUAAUGAGCUUUAGUUCUGACUAAACAACACACCACAAAUCUUGGGACUCAACCUGAAAGUAUUGUUCAGAAGCAUGUUUUUGAAGACAAAGUAGUCAUCACAUGGAAAUAUCAUCAUAAACUUCAAAUGUUAAAAUUAGCAUGAUGAUAAGACUGCUUUGAUAUAAUACCAAUUUAUCGGUAUAUGUUUACCUAGAAUUAGUUUGAUUUGCAGGUCUGUUCAUUGGUGUUUUUUAAUAUUUUAAGAUAUUGCAUGUGGGAAAAUUGUAUUCAAAUGUAUAAAGUAUAAAAACACUUGGAUAAGUGGCACACUGUAAAUAAAGCCUAUUUAUUAACAGAUCAAAAA
rnacentral:misc_RNA from 1 species